rnacentral:rRNA from 1 species
UACGUAGGGGGCUAGCGUUGUCCGGAAUCAUUGGGCGUAAAGCGCGCGUAGGCGGCCCGGUAAGUCCGUUGUGAAAGUCAAAGGCUCAACCUUUGAAAGCCGAUGGAUACUGCCGGGCUAGAGUCCGGAAGAGGCGAGUGGAAUUCCUGGUGUAGCGGUGGAAUGCGCAGAUAUCAGGAGGAACACCGAUAGCGAAGGCAGCUCGCUGGGACGGUACUGACGCUGAGGCGCGAAAGCGUGGGGAGCGAACAGG